GUACGUAUAUAUAACGAGCCAUAUAUACGCACAAAUUCCCGGCUCUUUUUGGACACACGCUCGCGCGUACGCGUGUGCUAGCUAGCUGCAUCGCGGAUCGAUCAGCAGCAGCUGGCUAGCCGAAGAAGUGGUGCUUCUUCUUCCCCUCGCCGCGGCCGGACUCCUCGUCCUCGGCGUCCUCCGCCGACUCCUUGUACUCCUUCUUCUCGUGGUGCUCGUGGAACGCGUACCCGCCGCUGCCAAUGGCCGCCACCGCCGCCACUUCCUCCUCGAUCUUAUGCCGGUGCGCGUUCUCCGGGUCCUUCUUCACCUGGUGCUUCUCGUACUACACACAUGCACACACUGGCCGUUAAUUCGCACCAUCAAUCAACGAUAGAAACUUGCGUUCGUGCGCCUAAACAUGUUUGCGCGACGAAUUAUCGUUCGGGAGGUACGUACCAUGGCGAAGGCGCCGGAGGCGAGGGCACCUAUCUCGCCGAGGUGCUCCUUGUGCUUGUGCUCCUUCUCCUCCUUCCGGUACUUCUCAGUCUCGCCCCGGGACGACCCGUACUCCUGGUCGUCGCCGCCAGAUUUUUUGUACCCGCCGCCGAUGUACUCGUCGUCGCCACCGGACUUCUUGUAUCCGCCGCCGCUGUACUCGUCGUCGCCACCGGACUUCUUGUAUCCGCCGCUGCUGUACUCAUCCUCGCCGCUGGACUUCUUGUACCCGCCGCCGCUGCGGUCGUAGUCGUCGGUGCCGGACUUGUUGCGGCCGUAGUCCUCGUUGCUUGCCUUGUUGUAGCCGCUGUCGUACUCGUCCCCGCCGGACUUCUUGUACCCGG
rnacentral:lncRNA from 1 species